GACGAACGCUGGCGGCGUGCCUAAUACAUGCAAGUCGUGCGGACCUUUUAAAAGCUUGCUUUUAAAAGGUUAGCGGCGGACGGGUGAGUAACACGUGGGUAACCUGCCUGUAAGACUGGGAUAACGCCGGGAAACCGGGGCUAAUACCGGAUCGUAUUUUCAACCGCAUGGGGCAAUAGUGAAAGCGGCUUUGGCUGCCACUUAUAGAUGGGUCCGCGGCGCAUUAGCUAGUUGGCGGGGUAACGGCCCACCAAGGCAACGAUGCGUAGCCGACCUGAGAGGGUGAUCGGCCACAUUGGGACUGAGACACGGCCCAAACUCCUACGGGAGGCAGCAGUAGGGAAUCUUCCGCAAUGGACGAAAGUCUGACGGAGCAACGCCGCGUGAGUGAAGAAGGCCUUCGGGUCGUAAAACUCUGUUGCCGGGGAAGAACAAGUGCCGUUCGAACAGGGCGGCGCCUUGACGGUACCCGGCCAGAAAGCCACGGCUAACUACGUG
rnacentral:rRNA from 1 species